GGCAGUUCUUGGGUGAUGCAUCCCAGAAUAGGGCUCCCUCCUCUCUGGUUCUGUUUGCAUCAACUGAGAACUGCA
rfam:Myotis brandtii contig302724, whole genome shotgun sequence.